rnacentral:rRNA from 1 species
AGAAAUUUGGAUUAAUACCCUAUAGUAUCAUUUAGAGUCAUCUCUUUUUGAUUAAAGGUUACGGUAUGAGAUGAGUAUGCGUUCUAUUAGUUAGUAGGUGAGGUAACGGCUCACCUAGACCGCGAUAGAUAGGGGCCCUGAGAGGGGGAUCCCCCACACUGGUACUGAGACACGGACCAGACUCCUACGGGAGGCAGCAGUGAGGAAUAUUGGACAAUGGGCGAAAGCCUGAUCCAGCCAUGCCGCGUGCAGGAUGACGGCCCUAUGGGUUGUAAACUGCUUUUAUACAGGAAGAAAAAACUCUACGUGUAGAGUCUUGACGGUACUGUAAGAAUAAGGAUCGGC